GGCCUUCUGGACUGACACUGACGCUGAGGUGCGAAAGCGUGGGUAGCAAACAGGAUUAGAUACCCUGGUAGUCCACGCCGUAAACGAUGUCGACUAGCCGUUGGGCUCCUUGAGAGCUUUGUGGCGCAGUUAACGCGAUAAGUCGACCGCCUGGGGAGUACGGCCGCAAGGUUAAAACUCAAAUGAAUUGACGGGGGCCCGCACAAGCGGUGGAGCAUGUGGUUUAAUUCGAUGCAACGCGAAGAACCUUACCUACCCUUGACAUCGAGAGAACUUUCCAGAGAUGGAUUGGUGCCUUCGGGAACUCUCAGACAGGUGCUGCAUGGCUGUCGUCAGCUCGUGUUGUGAAAUGUUGGGUUAAGUCCCGUAACGAGCGCAACCCUUGUCCCUAUUUGCCAGCGAUUCGGUCGGGAACUCUAGGGAGACUGCCGGUGACAAACCGGAGGAAGGUGGGGACGACGUCAAGUCAUCAUGGCCCUUACGGGUAGGGCUACACACGUGCUACAAUGGCCGGUACAAUGGGUUGCGAAUCCGCGAGGUGGAGCUAAUCCCAUAAAGCCGGUCUCAGUCCGGAUCGGAGUCUGCAACUCGACUCCGUGAAGUCGGAAUCGCUAGUAAUCGUGAAUCAGAAUGUCACGGUGAAUACGUUCCCGGGCCUUGUACACACCGCCCGUCACACCAUGGGAGUGGACUGCACCAGAAGUGGUUAGCCUAACUUCGGAGGGCGAUCACCACGGUGUGGUUCAUGACUGGGGUGAAGUCGUAA
rnacentral:rRNA from 1 species